UACGAAGGGUGCAAGCGUUAAUCGGAAUUACUGGGCGUAAAGCGUGCGUAGGCGGUUUCUUAAGUCCGUUGUGAAAGCCCUGGGCUCAACCUGGGAACUGCGAUGGAUACUGAGGAGCUGGAGUACGGUAGAGGAAGGUGGAAUUCCCGGUGUAGCGGUGAAAUGCGUAGAGAUCGGGAGGAACAUCAGUGGCGAAGGCGGCCUCUGGACCAGUACUGACGCUGAGGCACGAAAGCGUGGGGAGCAAACAGG
rnacentral:rRNA from 1 species